UACGAUCAGUGGACUACGUAG
rnacentral:piRNA from 1 species